AGAGCGAACGCUGGCGGCAGGCUUAACACAUGCAAGUCGAGCGGAAAGGCCCUUCGGGGUACUCGAGCGGCGAACGGGUGAGUAACACGUGAGCAACCUGCCCUUAGCUCCGGGAUAGCUCCGGGAAACCGGAAUUAAUACCGGAUACGACCACGGCCGACAUCUGCUGUGGUGGAAAGGAUUCCGGCUAAGGAUGGGCUCGCGGCCUAUCAGCUAGUUGGUGGAGUAACGGCCCACCAAGGCGACGACGGGUAGCCGGCCUGAGAGGGCGACCGGCCACACUGGGACUGAGACACGGCCCAGACUCCUACGGGAGGCAGCAGUGGGGAAUAUUGCGCAAUGGGCGAAAGCCUGACGCAGCGACGCCGCGUGGGGGAUGAAGGCCUUCGGGUUGUAAACCCCGUUUCAGCAGGGACGAAGCGAAAGUGACGGUACCUGCAGAAGAAGCGCCGGCUAACUACGCGCCAGCAGCCGC
rnacentral:rRNA from 1 species